AGUUGCCCAUGUCCCCGCCCCGGCCUGUGGUGGUGACCCCUGCCAGCUCGGUGCCUUUGCCGGCCCCGCGGCACCAGAAGUUGGGCUGGUCCAGGAGGAACGAGUCCGAGAACUGGCUGAAGCCGAUGAACAGCGCCGGGAUCCAGCGGCUUAUUUUCCAGAAGAGGUCCACUUUGUGUCUGGCUCUGCCUCCUUUCCCCCACAGUCACAAGGACACAUUUGUUUGCUUGUAACUGAUCACAAAAAGAGCAUUGCCAUUGACCUUAAUGACCCUUCCAAUCAGAGUAACUAUCAUAGCCAGCGUUUCAGAGUUGGCUUUCAAACUCACACUCUGACUCAGUCCUCACAUUCAGCACCCCAAGAAGUGGGCUUUCAAAGAGAAACAGCAAGGAUCAGGUGACUGACUACCAGAUCGAAGAGUUGGUCCCCAGCUGAGCCAAACAUCUGGUUUUGAACCCAGAUUUUCUGACUGGACAUUACAGGAUUUCUCCAUUUCAUCAUACAAGGGACCGUGCUUUCUUGGACUGCAGUAAAUGAGCAGGCACUCUCCAGCUUGCCCUCAUCCCUGCCUGACACAUGCCCCUCAUGCAUGUCAUUUGGCCCCCAAAAGUAGCUGUGUUUGUGACCCUAAAUUCAUCAUGGAAACAGCCUCUUCUGUUUGAUGAGAAUCAUCCCAAAGUUGGCAUAUGAAGCUUGAGUUUCAAGUAUGGAUGCUGAGCUCUUGACAGUGGACGGAGUUUUGCUCUUGUUGUCCAGGCUGGAAUGCAAUGCCACAAUCUCAGCUCACCUCAACCUCUGCCUCCCGGGUUCAAGUGAUUCUCCUGCCUCAGCCUCUUGAGUAUCUGAGAUUACAGGCAUGCGCCACCAUACCUGGCUAAUUUUGUAUUUUUAGUAGAGACGGGGUUUCUCCAUGUUGGUCAGGCUGGUCUCGAACUCCCGACCUCCAAUGAUCCGUCCGCCUUGGCCUCCCAAAGUGCUGGGAUUAUAGGCGUGAGCCACUGCACCCAGAUAUGAUGACAUUUUUAAUCAAGAAAAGGUUUGAUGGUUUGAAACCCAAAGUUGAUGGGAGGGGCACAAAAAUACAAAUGAUUGAAAAAUAUAUAUAUAUUUUUUUGAGACAGAGGUUUUUUUUUGCUCUUGUUGCCCAGGCUGGAGUGCAAUGGCAUGAUCUUGGCUGACCGCAACCUCCGCCUCCUGGGUUCAAACAAUUCUCCUGCCUUAGCCUCCCGAGUAGCUGGGAUUACAGGCAUGUGCCACCACAUCUGGCUAAUUUUGUAUUUUUUUUUUUUUUUUUUUACUUUCUCCAUGUUGGUCAGGUUGGUCUCGAACUCCCGACCUCAGGUAAUCCACCCAUCUCAGCCUCCCAAAGUGCUGGGAUUACAGGCAUGAGCAACUGUGCCUGGCUGAAAAAUAAAUUUUAAUGAGA